rnacentral:rRNA from 1 species
AACGGGGAUUGCCUCAGUAACGGCGAGUGAAGCGGCAACAGCUCAAAUUUGAAAUCUGGCGCCCCCGGCGCCCGAGUUGUAAUUUGCAGAGGAUGCCUCGGUGCGAGGCCGCGCCCAAGUCCCUUGGAACAGGGCGCCUCAGAGGGUGAGAGUCCCGUUGGGCCGCGGCCGACCUCCGUGUGAGGCUCCUUCGACGAGUCGAGUUGUUUGGGAAUGCAGCUCUAAGCGGGAGGUAAAUUUCUCCUAAGGCUAAAUACCGGCCAGAGACCGAUAGCGCACAAGUAGAGUGAUCGAAAGAUGAAAAGCACUUUGGAAAGAGAGUUAAAAAGCACGUGAAAUUGUUGAAAGGGAAGCGCUUGCGGCCAGACUUGCCGCGGCGGUUCGGCCGGGUGCUCCACCCGGCUUACUCCGCCGCGUCGGGCCAGCAUCAGCUUGGGCGGUCGGACAAAGGCCUGGGGAACGUAGCUCCCUCCGGGGAGUGUUAUAGCCCCUCGCGCAAUGCGACCUGCCCGGGCUGAGGCUCGCGUUCUGCUAGGAUGCUGGCGUAAUGGCCGCAAGCGGCCCGUCUUGAAACACGGACCAAGGAGUCUACCAUCUGUGCGAGUGUUUGGGUGUCAAACCCGUGCGCGUAAUGAAAGUGAACGGAGGCGGGAGCCCCCGGGCGCACCGUCGACCGAUCCUGAUGUCUUCGGAUGGAUUUGAGUAAGAGCACAGCUGGUGGGACCCGAAAGGUAAGCAACCAAUCCUUUUCUUCUACUUUAUAAAUGAAAGCUAAUAGAAAUUUCCCAGAUGGUGAACUAUGCGUAAACAGGGCGAAGCCAGAGGAAACUCUGGUGGAGGCUCGCAGCGGUUCUGACGUGCAAAUCGAUCGUCAAAUUCGCGCAUAGGGGCGAAAGACUAAUCGAA